CAGCGCAGCACACGGAACGCCGUUUACCUUCCCGCUGGGACUGAUCAGCAGCCGCCUGCAGAUCCUGAUGAAAGAGAGAGAGAAAAUUCUGGCCUAUCAACUGGACCUGAAAAAGGAAAGCCAAGCCCUCCUUAAAUUGACAGAAACGGAGAGGCAGAAAACAGUGGAGAAAGCUCAGGCAACUGCGCCAGUUCCUGGAGGAACAAGAAAAGCACCUGUUGAAUGAGAUAGAAGACGUAGAGGAGCAGAUUGCAAGGGAAAGGGAUGAGCAG